GCUGGGUGCGGUGGCUCACACCUGUAAUCCCAGCACUUUGGGAGGCCGAGGCGGGUGGAUCACCUGAGGUCAGGAGUUCAAGACCAGCCUGGCCAACAUGGUGAAACCCCGUCUCUA
ensembl:misc_RNA Metazoa_SRP Metazoan signal recognition particle RNA